rnacentral:rRNA from 1 species
CCCUUAGAUGUCCUGGGCCGCACGCGCGUUACACUGAUGCAUUCAACGAGCUUAUAACCUUGGCCGAGAGGCCUGGGCAAUCUUGUUAACGUGCAUCGUGAUAGGGAUAGAUUAUUGAAAUUAUUAAUCUUGAACGAGGAAUUCCUAGUAAACGCAGAUCAUCAAUCUGCAUUGAUUACGUCCCUGCCCUUUGUACACACCGCCCGUCGCACCUACCGAUUGGAUGGUCCGGUGAAGCCUCGGGAUUGUGGUUCUUGCCGCUUUAUUGUGGCGUGACCGCGAGAACUUGUCUAAACCUUAUCAUCUAGAGGAACGUGAAGUCGUAACA